CACGUAGGGCGCAAGCGUUGUCCGGAAUUAUUGGGCGUAAAGAGCGUGUAGGCGGCCCGAUUAGUCCGCUGUGAAAGUCCAGGGCUCAACCCUGGAAUGCCGGUGGAUACUGUCGGGCUAGAGUCCGGAAGGGGCGAGUGGAAUUCCUGGUGAUAGCGGUGGAAAGUGACGCAGAUAUCAGGAGGAACACCAAUGGCGAAGGCAGCUCGCUGGGACGUGACUGACGCUGAGACGCGAAAGCGUGGGGAGCAAACAGG
rnacentral:rRNA from 1 species